rnacentral:misc_RNA from 1 species
AAGAGUUUUCGUAACUCCCAAACCCAUGUGAACUUACCUUCUGUUGCCUCGGCAGGUCGUGUCUACCCUGUGGUCGCCUACCCUGUAGGCGACUACCUGGUAGUCACGGGUUCGCCUGCCAGUGGCCCGUUAAAACACUGUUUAUUAUAUGUUAUUCUGAUUUUACAACUAAAUAAGUUA